GAAAUGCGCUGCUACCAUGCAAGUCGAGCGGUAACAGAGAUAGCUUGCUAUCUGCUGACGAGCGGCGGACGGGUGAGUAAUGCUUGGGAAUAUGCCUUUGAGUGGGGGACAACAGUUGGAAACGACUGCUAAUACCGCAUAACGUCUACGGACCAAAGGGGGGGAUCUUCGGACCUCUCGCUCAUUGAUUAGCCCAAGUGAGAUUAGCUAGUUGGUAAGGUAAUGGCUUACCAAGGCGACGAUCUCUAGCUGGUUUGAGAGGAUGAUCAGCCACACUGGGACUGAGACACGGCCCAGACUCCUACGGGAGGCAGCAGUGGGGAAUAUUGCACAAUGGGCGAAAGCCUGAUGCAGCCAUGCCGCGUGUGUGAAGAAGGCCUUCGGGUUGUAAAGCACUUUCAGCGAGGAGGAAAGGGAUGUAGUUAAUAACUGCAUUCUGUGACGUUACUCGCAGAAGAAGCACCGGCUAACUUCGUGCCAGCAGCCGCGGUAAUACGAGGGGUGCAAGCGUUAAUCGGAAUUACUGGGCGUAAAGCGUGCGUAGGUGGUUUGUUAAGCAAGAUGUGAAAGCCCUGGGCUCAACCUGGGAACUGCAUUUUGAACUGGCAAGCUAGAGUUUUGUAGAGGGUAGUGGAAUUUCCAGUGUAGCGGUGAAAUGCGUAGAGAUUGGAAGGAACAUCAGUGGCGAAGGCGGCUACCUGGACAAAGACUGACACUGAGGCACGAAAGCGUGGGGAGCAAACAGGAUUAGAUACCCUGGUAGUCCACGCCGUAAACGAUGUCAACUAGCCGUCUGUGGUCUUGAACCGUGGGUGGCGUAGCUAACGCGCUAAGUUGACCGCCUGGGGAGUACGGCCGCAAGGUUAAAACUCAAAUGAAUUGACGGGGGCCCGCACAAGCGGUGGAGCAUGUGGGUUUAAUUCGAUGCAACGCGAAGAAUCUUACCAUCCCUUGACAUCCAGAGAAGCGACUAGAGAUAGACGUGUGCCUUCGGGAACUCUGUGACAGGUGCUGCAUGGCUGUCGUCAGCUCGUGUU
rnacentral:rRNA from 1 species